UACGUAGGGGGCAAGCGUUGUCCGGAAUCAUUGGGCGUAAAGCGCGUGUAGGCGGCUCGGUAAGUCCGCUCUGAAAGUCCGGGGCUCAACCCCGGGAGGCGGGUGGAUACUGUCGAGCUCGAGUCCGGAAGAGGCGAGUGGAAUUCCUGGUGUAGCGGUGAAAUGCGCAGAUAUCAGGAAGAACACCCGUGGCGAAGGCGGCUCUCUGGGACGGUACUGACGCUGAGACGCGAAAGCGUGGGGAGCGAACAGG
rnacentral:rRNA from 1 species